AGAACACGUCAGUGCGCGGCCGGCCCUCUCGUCGGCCUCCCCGCCCCGCCCCCAUCACGCUCUCUGAGCACCUGAGGUUCCUUCAGUUUCCUCUUGACAUCACUUGAUGGAACUGCUGUGGUCCUCUCUCUCUCUCUCUCUCUCUCAAGUCUUUGAAAGUUUUUGCAGAGGGGUUUGUCCUGGUACCAUAACUUGAGGGAAUGGAAAGCUCGAAGGGAACAAGAAGGCUCUUGUGAUCAGCUAAUGGAGAGGUCGCCUGAGUUGGAUGACUACCCCGAAUGUCUCCCAUGGCUGAAGAAUCGGAGAUUUGGGCUUUCCACCUAACAGCUGGGCUUGAAUUCUGGGUUGGCAACAGAAAGUCCUGCAGAAAAACAUUUGGCCGCCAGAGGGCGCUCUACUAAAGUCGAAAGGAACUCCCUCCACCUGCGGCCUGUGAAGCACUCAGAGGAUGAAGACACACCACAGGCUGGCCUCAAAGCUUUCCUGGUUGAUGUCCCAGCUGGUUGUCUCUUCAGCUCUAGAUUUCCAGAUCAGGACACCAUUUCUUAGCGGCAGAGUCACGUGGGAUCCACCUUGUUCUAGACGGGGGUUCUGUGUCAGCUACAAACAGGUACCUCUGCGAGGGGGCUAUUCCUCUUCCUGCUGCCUA